UAGCUAGUUGGUGAGGUAAAGGCUUACCAAGGCGACGAUCUGUAGCGGGUCUGAGAGGAUGAUCCGCCACACUGGAACUGAGACACGGUCCAGACUCCUACGGGAGGCAGCAGUGGGGAAUUUUGGACAAUGGGGGUAACCCUGAUCCAGCCAUGCCGCGUGAGUGAAGAAGGCCUUCGGGUUGUAAAGCUCUUUCGGCCGGGAAGAAAUCGCAUGGGCCAAUACCCUGUGUGGAUGACGGUACCGGAAUAAGAAGCACCGGCUAACUACGUGCCAGCAGCCGCGGUAAUACGUAGGGUGCGAGCGUUAAUCGGAAUUACUGGGCGUAAAGCGUGCGCAGGCGGUUUUGUAAGACAGGCGUGAAAUCCCCGGGCUUAACCUGGGAACUGCGUUUGUGACUGCAAGGCUAGAGUACGGCAGAGGGGGGUGGAAUUCCACGUGUAGCAGUGAAAUGCGUAGAGAUGUGGAGGAACACCAAUGGCGAAGGCAGCCCCCUGGGUCGAUACUGACGCUCAUGCACGAAAGCGUGGGUAGCAAACAGGAUUAGAUACCCUGGUAGUCCACGCCCUAAACUAUGUCAACUAGGUGUUGGGUGGGUAAAACCAUUUAGUACCGUAGCUAACGCGUGAAGUUGACCGCCUGGGGAGUACGGCCGCAAGGUUAAAACUCAAAGGAAUUGACGGGGACCCGCACAAGCGGUGGAUGAUGUGGAUUAAUUCGAUGCAACGCGAAAAACCUUACCUACCCUUGACAUGCCAGGAACUUGCCAGAGAUGGCUUGGUGCCCGAAAGGGAGCCUGGACACAGGUGCUGCAUGGCUGUCGUCAGCUCGUGUCGUGAGAUGUUGGGUUAAGUCCCGCAACGAGCGCAACCCUUGUCGUUAAUUGCCAUCAUUUAGUUGGGCACUUUAACGAGACUGCCGGUGACAAACCGGAGGAAGGUGGGGAUGACAUCAAGUCCUCAUGGCCCUUAUGGGUAGGGCUUCACACGUCAUACAAUGGUCGGUACAAAGGGUUGCCAAGCCGCGAGGCGGAGCCAAUCCCAGAAAGCCGAUCGUAGUCCGGAUUGCAGGCUGCAACUCGCCCGCAUGAAGUCGGAAUCGCUAGUAAUCGUGGAUCAGCAUGUCACGGUGAAUACGUUCCCGGGUCUUGUACACACCGCCCGUCACACCAUGGGAGCGGGUUCCGCCAGAAGUAGGUAGCCUAACCGCAAGGGGGGCGCUUACCACGGCGGGGUUCGUGACUGGGGUGAAGUCGGAACAAGGUAGCCGUAGGGGAACCUGCGGCUG
rnacentral:rRNA from 1 species